rnacentral:rRNA from 1 species
CCUACGGGAGGCAGCAGUGGGGAAUAUUGCACAAUGGGGGAAACCCUGAUGCAGCGACGCCGCGUGAGUGAAGAAGUAUUUCGGUAUGUAACGCUCUAUCAGCAGGGAAGAAAAUGACGGUACCUGAUUAAGAAGCGCCGGCUAACUACGUGCCAGCAGCCGCGGUCAUACGUAGGGGGCAAGCGUUAUCCGGAUUUACUGGGUGUAAAGGGAGCGUAGACGGCAGCACAAGUCUGGAGUGAAAUGCCGGGGCUUAAACCCGGAACUGCUUUGGAAACUGUGCAGCGAGAGUGCAGGAGAGGUAAGUGGAAUUCCUAGUGUAGCGGUGAAAUGCGUAGAUAUUAGGAGGAACACCAGUGGCGAAGGCGGCUUACUGGACUGUAACUGACGUUGAGGCUCGAAAGCGUGGGGAGCAAACAGGAUUAGAUACCCCUGUAGUC